CCAUUGGAGUUUGACAGUGCCGCUGCCGGAGUUCUGAGGCCACCGGAACCACCGCCAGAGGUUCUGGCUACUUCUGCCGUCGCCGGAAAAGUUGCCGGUAAGGGUUUCAUUUGAGGUUUCUGCCUUUUUGGUUUUCGAGAUGGUUUUGAUGCUGUGUAGUUUUUCUAGUUGAUCCACCAGAGUUUCCGGCCGCCGCCGGAGUUGUUGCUACCGCCGGUUCGAAAUCGCAGCUGCUUCGUGUUAUUCCGUGUCGCUAUGGUUAUUGCGGAUGUGGCUUGAAGCUGAGGUUGCGGUUGUUGAUGAUUUCGGGUUGAGGCGGAAAGGACUCUGUGACACGUUUGAGUUAUGGAAUUUGCGUUUUGAGGAUAUGGGCGCAAAAGUCAUGAAGAGUUUAUUUAGUUGUUGCUGAAAUGCUCUGUAUUG